rnacentral:rRNA from 1 species
UUUUUGGAGAGUUUGAUCCUGGCUCAGGACGAACGCUGGCGGCGUGCCUAAUACAUGCAAGUCGAGCGGACUUGAA